UACGGGGGGUGCGAGCGUUGUCCGGAAUCACUGGGCGUAAAGAGCUCGUAGGCGGUCUGUUGCGUCCGCUGUGAAAACUCGGGGCUUAACCCCGAGCCUGCAGUGGAUACGGGCAGACUAGAGGUAGGUAGGGGAGAAUGGAAUUCCCGGUGUAGCGGUGAAAUGCGCAGAUAUCGGGAGGAACACCGGUGGCGAAGGCGGUUCUCUGGGCCUUACCUGACGCUGAGGCGCGAAGGCCAGGGGAGCAAACGGG
rnacentral:rRNA from 1 species